AACGAACGCUGGCGGCAUGCCUAACACAUGCAAGUCGAACGAGACCUUCGGGUCUAGUGGCGCCCGGCUGCGUAACGCGUGGGAACCUGCCCUUAGGUUCGGAAUAACUCCCCGAAAGGGGUGCUAAUACCGGAUAAUGUCUUAGGACCAAAGAUUUAUCGCCUUUGGAUGGGCCCUCGUUGGAUUAGCUAGUUGGUAGGGUAAAAGCCUACCAAGGCGCCGAUCCAUAGCUGGUCGGAGAGGAUGCGCAGCCACACUGGGCCUGAGACACGGCCCAGACUCCUACGGGAGGGAGCAGUGGGGAAUAGUGGAAAAGGGGCGAAGGUCUGAUCCAGCAAUGCCGGGUGAGUGAUGAAGGCCUUAGGGUUGUAAAGCUCUUUUAACCGGGAUGAUAAUGACAGUACCGGGAGAAUAAGCACCGGCUAACUCCGUG
rnacentral:rRNA from 1 species